rnacentral:rRNA from 1 species
CCUACGGGUGGCAGCAGUGGGGAAUAUUGCACAAUGGAGGGAACCCUGAUGCAGCGACGCCGCGUGAGUGAAGAAGGCCUUCGGUAUGUAAAGCUCUAUCAGCAGGGAAGAAAGUGACGGUACCUGUAAAAGAAGCUCCGGCUAAAUACGUGCCAGCAGCCGCGGUAAUACGGAUGGAGCAAGCGUUAUCCGGAUUUACUGGGUGUAAAGGGAGAGUAGGUGGCAGAGCAAGUCCGAAGUGAAAACCCAAAGCUCAACUAUGGGAAUGCAUUAGAAACUGCUCAGCUAGAGUGCAGGAGAGGCAAGUGGAAUUCUUGGUGUAGCGGUGAAAUGCGUAGAUAUGAGGAGGAACACCAGUGGCGAAGGCGGCUUGCUGGACUGUAACUGACACUGAGGCUCGAAAGCGUGGGGAGCAAACAGGAUUAGAUACCCCUGUAGUC